GACGGUAGAAAUCCUUUUGUAAUACCAUAGCUCAUCUUCUUUCAUAUAGUACUCAGAAAUGGUUUCAGAGUCCUUCAGGUUCACGGAGCUUCUCUAAUAAAGAGCCACUUCUCAGAGUACGAGUCCUAAUCAAGUUAAAAAUGUCAUACAUGGAGUCAUUACUUAUUAAAUAAGUGCUGUUCUGUGAAAUUAAACCAUGCUUUCACAAGAUUAACCCAUGAUCUUGAUUUUCUUUUGAGUUUGAAAUUACACUAACAAACUUGGCUUUCAAGAAAUGACUUUAAUGUUUAUAUUUUCAAAUUUUCAGGUUUGAUUGGCUCAGUCAAAUGUAAUGUUCAGAUUAAUAUCUCAAGAGAAUAUGUCUGCUCUGACGUUUAGCCUACUUACUAGACUCAUGUCUAAUCAUUAUGUUUUUUUUUUUUUAAAUCAAUAGUAAAAAACUUACAUUUUUGAUCUGUCUUCAAUUUGCACUGAUUAUACUUGACAUGUUUACAUGUUUGUCACUUUUGCUUUGUGCCAAAGUGUUUUUUAUUUUGAUACUUUUUAAUUUAUUAAAUAGAGCGUCGUCUUAUGAUUAAGAUGGCAAAAAUGUUUUCUGCUGAUAAAAACAUUUCUCAAGCCUUGGCUUUUUUUGUUUGCCCAUGCCUUGUUUCCAAUGGAGGUUUUGGCUGCUUAUACUAAUUACCCAGUUUUUACUCUGGAACAAAAUCAUUAAUGCUGAUGCUAAACAUUUCACAUUGUACAGACCAACCAAACAUACUGAGCAGCAGAUGUUUAGUACAGCUAAAAUGUAAACUUCCAUGAAUCUGAGCCAUAUCAAUGUUUGUAUAGGCAAUAUUCUGUCCUAAAUUAUAAAUGUUGUUACAUGUUCAAGGCUGUCAUUAUUCUAGCCUACCUAUACUAUCAACGAAUCCCAGACAAGGCUAAAACCAACACAUUAAUCCCACUGACAAUCAGCCACAAUCUGACAGGGCUGCUUCCUUAGUGGCGCAGAACUCCACUAUCGGCCCACAUCCAUUACAGAUGUCUUCUACCAUUACACGUGGCUGGCAUACAGUAUAACUUCACUGCAAUCAGCGCGACUUUUAUUGUGAAAGAAAUCCACAGGUGCGUUAAUAUCCUGUAGAGGCGGAUGUCGUCGGGAACUCGGACACGGUGACCGAGCGUGUGUCGCGGUGCUACUUAUUGCUUUUGCUAGUUAAAGCCAAAACUAAGCCGUGCUAACUGCAGUGCCGGGAAAUCUCACCCAGGUUUAAAGAUUCAUUGUGUUGGAUGAACAGGAUCGCAACUUGUAUGAGGGCCCAGAAUUUCUAACAGCAUGCUUGAUCUGCCGCCUGCAGCGCCUCAACCAUUGUUCACAGACGAUGCUGGUGUUUUCAGUGAUGGUGACUAUAAGCUCUCCAAUCAUGCAGACAACUUGCCACGGCUCUACUCCAGCCAGGUCCCCAGCAUGAAGAUGACCCAUCAGUCUGCCGCGUGUUACAUGAGCCAAUCUGCUGGGAUGAUAAAUGAUAACCAGGAGCUCGGUGCUGCUGGCCCUGUCAGAGGAGAUUUCGGAUGGGAAGGAUGAUGGGGUUGCCACACCGAAGCGUGGCGCGGGGCUCACAGCAGGUGCCAAAUGAGCCUUGCGAAGCAGAAGGCUGGCCGGCGCUGCAAGUGACAGAUGUCUGAUAUGUUUGGCAUGGAUUAGCUAAAAGCUUAUUUCUGCACCUUCUCUGUCACCGGAGCUCAGACUCCUCAGACAAUUCACCAGUUUCCAGAUCAUGUGCAGGCUGUGAAGCAUCCAGGCAACAGAAAUGCAAGGUUGUCCAACUUGUGCAUCUGCCCUUUAAAAAAUUAAAAAAAAUAAAGCCAGUCAACCAAUCACCUUUCAAGGUCAAAUCAUUUGCAAUAGUGUGAGAUCUUUCUUGAACAAUUUCUGUUUUCUAAUGAUAAAUCGAUUGUAUGAUAGUGAAAAUAUAAAAAAACACCUGUCAAACACAGACCCAU